AUGAUCUUCAAAUCCUCGUAGUUAUAAAAACUUUGUUUUUUUUCGGAAAUUUUAGAGUUUCUGAAAAAAUUGGGAAAAUUUUAGAUUAGUGAAAUUUCCGAUAGUUAUUAAUCUUUUUUAUUUUUUUCGUUUUUUGCAGUGAAACACAAGGGCAGGAACGACACUAUUGCAGACAAAACGACAGAUAGAGCGGCAGACCAAGCUAGGGCUGCUGAGGCUGAGUCUUCCCAUAUACGUGUUGGACGAGUGGUUCCAAUCGAUUUACACCGGAAACAGUUGACUGAGCAGAUCAGUUUCACGCACUCCGUAGCACCCGACGUCGAGCGGUUAGAUCAGUUGAGCAGCCCAGAGAUGAUGUUGAGGUUGUUCAUGACCCAACAAUCGAGAUAGAUGCGACAAAUAUUAUUGUUGAGGUUGCUAAUGAGGUGGUCCAGCCAAAUGUCAUUAUUGCAAAUGAGGUGGUCCAAUCAGAUGUUAGUGUUGCUGAUCUGGUCCCUUCUACUACUACCGACAUAAAGGUUACGACUCCUUUGAUCGAGCCGUCUAUGCACACUGAUGUAGGAUUCCCGGGAGGAUCCAUUGACCGGUUGUUGCUUAUCAAGUAUGUUGACCAUGUGGCAUACCGACUAUGGCAUGGAGAGACCGCCUCCCAAUGAAGGUUACAUCGCACGGGUCUAAGCUGAAGAACUUUCCGAAGACUCUGAUGCCUGAGCAGGUCAGUCGUAUUGUAUGUGAUUUUGAGCUCCUUGAUUUUGCUGACUGCUCACUUAUCAUGCUCGAUGCUCCACUUCUUACUGCUUUUGUUGAGCAAUGGCACAAGGAGACAUCUUCAUUUCGUAUUUUGUUUGGGGAGAUGACUAUUACUCUGGAUGAUGCCUAAUAAUUGUUCCAUCUCCCCAUUGCCGAAAGAUUUUGGACGAAUCAUGUUAUUAGCCCGUCACUUGCAUGUUUGACUCUUGCACGAGAUUUGGGAGUUUCUGAGGAGACAGUGAUGGAGGAGUUUGGCUUUAACAGGGGAGCUCACCUUCGUAUGUCUUGACUUUGGGAUAGGUUCGAGGAGCUUGUUGCAACACAAAGUUAUGAGGCUACCGCUAGGGUGUACAUGUUACAUCUAGUAUUAUGUACUCUUUUUGCAUACAAGUCAGAUGUUUAUAUCGAUGUCAGUACCUGACGUUGUUCAGUAGCCUUGACGUCACCACUUGGGCUUAGGGGUACGCUGCAUUGACCAUCCUAUAUAUAACACUUGGAGUAGCGACAGUAUUUGAGACCAGACAACUUGCUGUGCUGGAUAUACGAGUAUUUCCCCAUCAUCUGUGAGAGGAGGGUGUAACAUUCCCUAGUGAGGACCCCACUAACGAGGAGAUUGAGGGUCAAACAGUCACAUCCAGGUGGUGUUGUAAAGUACAAGAGGGGGCUAGUUGCACUGACUGUAAAUGAUAUCAUCUAGACAUCAUACACUGAUCAUAGAGUCCACCGCGAGUUUGAUGACUCUUCUUUAUAUUCAGAUUAUAUACGGUGGGAGACCAUGGUUGCUAGACAUUUGCCUGAGAGGUGUCUGCAACAGUAUGGUUACGUUUAGAGCAUCCCACGACCAAUUACGAAUAUUCCAUUUGUGGGCAUUGACAAGUGGAUUCAGAGUAAAAUCAUUAGCUUUGGUCGUGCCAUUAGAGAUCAUGCGGUUACGGUUCAGCAUGCCUCGUAGUGCGAGGAUGGUUACUUGGAAUGGUACCUUAUUGUAUCACACCCUCGCACCAUCCCACCUGUUAAGCAUACAGGUGAUAUUGGGCCUUUCGAUGUUGGGGUACCUGUCAAUGACGUGUGGCCGUCACUUCCUACAGCUGAUGUUGAUGACCAUCAACACCUCUGGAUGAUUGCAGUUAUUCUGAAUAACCUCAUGGAUUUGGUAUAUCCAUAUGACUAGGUUUAUACUAGAUUAUCUCGUGUUGCACACAUAGUCUGUGGGAGA